UCGAGGAUCUUCGGCAAUGGGCGCAAGCCUGACCGAGCGACGCCGCGUGUGCGAUGAAGGCCUUCGGGUUGUAAAGCACUGUCGAGGGGGAUAAAGCCGAAAGGUUGAUAGAUCCCUGGAGGAAGCACGGGCUAAGUUCGUGCCAGCAGCCGCGGUAAGACGAACCGUGCAAACGUUGUUCGGAAUCACUGGGCUUAAAGGGCGCGUAGGCGGGGUCGUAAGUCUAUGGUGAAAUCCCCCGGCUCAACCGGGGAAUGGCCGUGGAUACUGCGACCCUCGAGGGGUGUAGGGGCAUGCGGAACUUCGGGUGGAGCGGUGAAAUGCGUAGAGAUCCGAAGGAACGCCGGUGGCGAAAGCGGCGUGCUGGACACCUUCUGACGCUGAGGCGCGAAAGCCAGGGGAGCAAACGGGAUUAGAUACCCCUGUAGUCC
rnacentral:rRNA from 1 species